GCUUUGUGGCGUUCAGGAGCCAAAAUGUCCACGUACCAAGGUGUUUGGGAUCCAAGAUACGACUGUAUAACUGUAUAAACUCUUGCUUUAAAAGACAACAACAACAAAAACUGGCAGAUUUUACUAGUAAAAGAGGCUGAGCCCCCCCCCCCUUAGAUUUUGAGGCCCUGGACUGCUGCCCACUCAGCCCAUAUGUAAAUCUGGCACUGCCCAAAUCCCAUUAAAAGGAACACAACAAACAUCCAGGCUGAAGCUGAUAGAAAAUUAAGCAAAACAGCUUCCUGAGGCAAGGCGUCACCUGGCAUGUGGGAUAGCAUCUUGGAACAUAUUCCACUUAGCCAGAUGAUGGCUAGGAACAGUCUGGUGCAAUCUAGAGCAGGUCGUAUACUUAGCCAAAUUAAUGUCAUCACAUCAAACUAUUUGCUUCCAGCUUCAAAUGAAUGUGUAUAAAAGGACUCGCUGUGUUGGGGUUUUCCACCUGCACCUUCCGUUCUGACAUCUCUUCUGCCACUUACCUUCUUCAGUUCGUGGUAAGUGGUCUUUUACUGAAUCGCUUAUUAGGGUGAUUGUUUGACUCCAGAGCAGAAAUUGAUUUGGGAUUUUGUUCAGUAUGAUUUUCUGUUUCUAGACAAAUAAGAAUCAGUUAUGGGAAGAGUCCUGCAAAUCUCUACAUCCAAUCAGUGGUGCUUCUGGGGUUGUUUAAGGCUCAAAAGAAUUUUCACAACAAAUGUAUUUCUACCUUCCUUAAGAUUUAUAAACCUAUGUUGUUUUAAUUUAUUACCUCUCUUGCGUGCUAAGAUUCCAGGGUAGGUUAGAACAAUUUAAAAUAUAACAUUAAAUUAGAUAUUAUUAUAAUAUUUUAUUAGGGAAUCUGAGCCAUCAUGAGUAAUAUUCCAUGAUAUGUCUGAAAGUAUGCUUAAGAAUGUUUAAUUUCUGGUUCUCCAAGGUGGUUCUCCAAGAUUCCUCCAAGAUGCCCAUGGUCAUCACUGAAGUGAUGUUGCCAGAUGUAUUAGUCAUAUACUUUUCUACAGCUUUUGAUGGAGUACUUUUCUAGCCCAUGUCUGAGUGUCUUCGGCCGUGAGGAUUCACUUCUGGUGAUAUGUUGGCUACUCCUGGGUGGUCUCACAUUAUGAGCCGAACAAGAACCAUUGCGGCCAACACUUCAUCUUUGCUCUUCCAUGCAUUACUCUUCCCUUAUAAAUCUUCCUUCUUCCUCUGCUAUCUAUCUUUCCUCCAUUCAUGCCAAGCAACCCUCAGUUUGCUGAGUCAGAGUUGGGGGGCCCUUGAGGUUGGCACAUCUUCCACUGAGAGUUCCCCUCUGGCACCUCCUUUUAGCCAGCUAGGCUAGGGCAAAGUGAAGGUGUAGGGAGAACCAAACACCCUCCCUCCCUCCUUCCCUCCUUUCUUUCCUUCCUUCUGCUUAUCCAACACACCACCUCCAUUUGUUGAAUUGUUGGAUUCUCUGAAUUGGCAAAUCCACUCUCUGGUUGCAUGGAAUGGCUUUCUUUCUCUUCUCCUGCUAAACUGUUGAUCCGAUACCACAUUAGUGUUAUGUAAUGGGGAAAAAAAAACAGAUUAUCCAACAUAACCAGUUUUGAAAAUGUAAGAAAAAUAAAGACAGAAAAAAUAGUCCAAAUGGAAAAAGAAAAAGAAAAAUCAUGACUUCCAGAGUGGGCUGAGCUCGCAGUUUCCUCCUCCUCCUUUUCUAUCCGCUCGACUCUGACUUGUCAACAUUUUUAUUCAAAAAGCAUUGGUGACUUUUGCUGCUUCACUAGUCAAUAAACAGGUGAUAUAAAACAUUCUUUUGUUGUUGAUUUUCCCUGCUG